rnacentral:rRNA from 1 species
UGCGACCUAAGGUCAGGCGG